GGGGGGCCCAUCCUCCAAGGCUAAAUACUCCUGACUGACCGAUAGUGAACCAGUACCGUGAGGGAAAGGCGAAAAGAACCCCGGCGAGGGGAGUGAAAAAGAACCUGAAACCGUGUACGUACAAGCAGUGGGAGCACGCUUAGGCGUGUGACUGCGUACCUUUUGUAUAAUGGGUCAGCGACUUAUAUUCUGUAGCAAGGUUAACCGAAUAGGGGAGCCGAAGGGAAACCGAGUCUUAACUGGGCGUUAAGUUGCAGGGUAUAGACCCGAAACCCGGUGAUCUAGCCAUGGGCAGGUUGAAGGUUGGGUAACACUAACUGGAGGACCGAACCGACUAAUGUUGAAAAAUUAGCGGAUGACUUGUGGCUGGGGGUGAAAGGCCAAUCAAACCGGGAGAUAGCUGGUUCUCCCCGAAAGCUAUUUAGGUAGCGCCUCGUGAAUUCAUCUCCGGGGGUAGAGCACUGUUUCGGCAAGGGGGUCAUCCCGACUUACCAACCCGAUGCAAACUGCGAAUACCGGAGAAUGUUAUCACGGGAGACACACGGCGGGUGCUAACGUCCGUCGUGAAGAGGGAAACAACCCAGACCGCCAGCUAAGGUCCCAAAGUCAUGGUUAAGUGGGAAACGAUGUGGGAAGGCCCAGACAGCCAGGAUGUUGGCUUAGAAGCAGCCAUCAUUUAAAGAAAGCGUAAUAGCUCACUGGUCGAGUCGGCCUGCGCGGAAGAUGUAACGGGGCUAAACCAUGCACCGAAGCUGCGGCAGCGACGCUUAUGCGUUGUUGGGUAGGGGAGCGUUCUGUAAGCCUGCGAAGGUGUGCUGUGAGGCAUGCUGGAGGUAUCAGAAGUGCGAAUGCUGACAUAAGUAACGAUAAAGCGGGUGAAAAGCCCGCUCGCCGGAAGACCAAGGGUUCCUGUCCAACGUUAAUCGGGGCAGGGUGAGUCGACCCCUAAGGCGAGGCCGAAAGGCGUAGUCGAUGGGAAACAGGUUAAUAUUCCUGUACUUGGUGUUACUGCGAAGGGGGGACGGAGAAGGCUAUGUUGGCCGGGCGACGGUUGUCCCGGUUUAAGCGUGUAGGCUGGUUUUCCAGGCAAAUCCGGAAAAUCAAGGCUGAGGCGUGAUGACGAGGCACUACGGUGCUGAAGCAACAAAUGCCCUGCUUCCAGGAAAAGCCUCUAAGCAUCAGGUAACAUCAAAUCGUACCCCAAACCGACACAGGUGGUCAGGUAGAGAAUACCAAGGCGCUUGAGAGAACUCGGGUGAAGGAACUAGGCAAAAUGGUGCCGUAACUUCGGGAGAAGGCACGCUGAUAUGUAGGUGAAGUCCCUUGCGGAUGGAGCUGAAAUCAGUCGAAGAUACCAGCUGGCUGCAACUGUUUAUUAAAAACACAGCACUGUGCAAACACGAAAGUGGACGUAUACGGUGUGACGCCUGCCCGGUGCCGGAAGGUUAAUUGAUGGGGUCAGCGCAAGCGAAGCUCUUGAUCGAAGCCCCGGUAAACGGCGGCCGUAACUAUAACGGUCCUAAGGUAGCGAAAUUCCUUGUCGGGUAAGUUCCGACCUGCACGAAUGGCGUAAUGAUGGCCAGGCUGUCUCCACCCGAGACUCAGUGAAAUUGAACUCGCUGUGAAGAUGCAGUGUACCCGCGGCAAGACGGAAAGACCCCGUGAACCUUUACUAUAGCUUGACACUGAACAUUGAGCCUUGAUGUGUAGGAUAGGUGGGAGGCUUUGAAGUGUGGACGCCAGUCUGCAUGGAGCCGGCCUUGAAAUACCACCCUUUAAUGUUUGAUGUUCUAACGUGGACCCGUGAUCCGGGUUGCGGACAGUGUCUGGUGGGUAGUUUGACUGGGGCGGUCUCCUCCUAAAGAGUAACGGAGGAGCACGAAGGUUGGCUAAUCCUGGUCGGACAUCAGGAGGUUAGUGCAAUGGCAUAAGCCAGCUUGACUGCGAGCGUGACGGCGCGAGCAGGUGCGAAAGCAGGUCAUAGUGAUCCGGUGGUUCUGAAUGGAAGGGCCAUCGCUCAACGGAUAAAAGGUACUCCGGGGAUAACAGGCUGAUACCGCCCAAGAGUUCAUAUCGACGGCGGUGUUUGGCACCUCGAUGUCGGCUCAUCACAUCCUGGGGCUGAAGUAGGUCCCAAGGGUAUGGCUGUUCGCCAUUUAAAGUGGUACGCGAGCUGGGUUUAGAACGUCGUGAGACAGUUCGGUCCCUAUCUGCCGUGGGCGCUGGAGAACUGAGGGGGGCUGCUCCUAGUACGAGAGGACCGGAGUGGACGCAUCACUGGUGUUCGGGUUGUCAUGCCAAUGGCACUGCCCGGUAGCUAAAUGCGGAAGAGAUAAGUGCUGAAAGCAUCUAAGCACGAAACUUGCCCCGAGAUGAGUUCUCCCUGACCCUUUAAGGGUCCUGAAGGAACGUUGAAGACGACGACGUUGAUAGGCCGGGUGUGUAAGCGCAGCGAUGCGUUGAGCUAACCGGUACUAAUGAACCGUGAGG
rnacentral:rRNA from 1 species